UACAGAGGUCCCAAGCGUUGUUCGGAUUCAUUGGGCGUAAAGGGUGCGUAGGUGGCGCCGUAAGUGGGGUGUGAAAUUUCGGAGCUUAACUCCGAAACUGCAUUCGAUACUGCGGUGCUUGAGGACUGGAGAGGAGACUGGAAUUCAUGGUGUAGCAGUGAAAUGCGUAGAGAUCAUGAGGAAGACCAGUGGCGAAGGCGGGUCUCUGGACAGUUCCUGACACUGAGGCACGAAGGCCAGGGGAGCAAACGGG
rnacentral:rRNA from 1 species